AUUGAACGCUGGCGGCAGGCUUAACACAUGCAAGUCGAGCGGUAACAGAGAGAAGCUUGCUUCUCUGCUGACGAGCGGCGGACGGGUGAGUAAUGCCUAGGAAUCUGCCUAGUAGUGGGGGAUAACUUGCCGAAAGGUAAGCUAAUACCGCAUACGUCCUACGGGAGAAAGGAGGGGACCUUCGGGCCUUUCGCUAUUAGAUGAGCCUAGGUCGGAUUAGUUAGUUGGUGAGGUAAUGGCUCACCAAGACCACGAUCCGUAACUGGUCUGAGAGGAUGAUCAGUCACACUGGAACUGAGACACGGUCCAGACUCCUACGGGAGGCAGCAGUGGGGAAUAUUGGACAAUGGGGGGAACCCUGAUCCAGCCAUGCCGCGUGUGUGAAGAAGGUCUUAGGAUUGUAAAGCACUUUAAGUUGGGAGGAAGAGCAGUUAACUAAUAUUUGACUGUUUUGACGUUACCGACAGAAUAAGCACCGGCUAACUUCGUG
rnacentral:rRNA from 1 species